rnacentral:lncRNA from 1 species
UUGUUAUAUAAAAACAGGCUAAAUAUUACAAAUAUAUACAAAUAUUUACACUUGGAUUUCAUUGAUUAUUUUGUGUUCGGUUUAUUGGUAUGAAUACAUUUCCGUUUACAACUGACCCUAAGUUUUAGUCUUUUGAAUAGGGACAGCUUCUUUGUGUUUAUCUUCUGUUGGCGUGCUGGCAUUUCUUUUUCCAUUUUUUUUUUGCUGCGGGGGUAUUGGUAUUAACGGUCUGUCCCUUGAAAUAUUGUUCAAUAUUGCCACCGGGUUCCGUAUUUUUCUUCUUUUUUUUAUGCUUCGGCUUUUUUUUCUCAUCAUUUUCCCCACCGUUCACUAUUUCUUGAUCACACUGAAUUUUAUCUUGUAAAUGGUUAUUUACUGAUUGGGCUUUAUCUUUGGCAUGAAUAAUACUAAGGACGUCACCCGAGUUGGAAGGUUGAAGUGCGUCAUGUGCAUGAGCAGGCGGGACUUCAGUGACUUCUGUGUCGG